rnacentral:rRNA from 1 species
UACGAAGGGGGCGAGCGUUGUUCGGAUUUACUGGGCGUAAAGGGCGCGUAGGCGGCGCGAGAAGUCGAGUGUGAAAGCCCCCGGGCUCAACCUGGGAAUUGCGCUCGAUACUCUUGUGCUUGAGUUCGGGAGAGGAGCGUGGAAUUCCCAGUGUAGAGGUGAAAAUUCGUAGAUAUUGGGAAGAACACCGGUGGCGAAGGCGGCGCUCUGGACCGAGACUGACGCUGAGGCGCGAAAGCGUGGGAGCAACAGGGAUUAAGAAACCCUGAGUA